GGCUGAGGUUGAAAUUGUUGUUGCGAUGGUACCUGUGGUUGGGUUUGUGAUUGUAACUGCACUUGGGGUGCAGGUUGAGCCCAUGGCACAACGUAACUGUUAUAAGGCACAUGACCCUGGCUGGCAGAAUGGUGAUGAUGAUAUCCCUGUGUAUUUGACGACGACACAGGGACCUGAUGUGUAUUUUGGCUUGAUGCAGGUGGAGUGAGAGGAGUAUGAGGAGAGGUUGAUGAUGUUGAUAAAGUGAUACUCAAGAGGUCAAUCAUAUCUUGCUCUUUUGAAGUCUUGACUGGUGCAGGAGGAUCUGGUAGAGCUAAUGCAGUGCAAGUAUUAGAGGAUGCUGGCAUGGAUGAUGUAACUGUAUUGCCUGUGCUCACCAAUGCCAAGUUCUCAACAGUUUCAGUGGAAGAGCUUUGACUAGGUACAGGCUGUGAUUUAGAGUGCCUUCGAGCUAGUUGUGCAAACUCAUCCUCCUCUUCAUCCUCCUCCACUAUCUGGUUCCUUGCUACGGAAGCAGUUGAUGAUGGAUUAUUCACAUUUGCUGGAGGACUAGAAUCUCUUAAGCUUGAACCUCUUAUUUCAUUGGCUAUCUGUGUGGCAGCAGAUGACUCCGGCAUCUGAGGGCUCAGAUUCGUUGAUUGAGUUGGCAACACAGAACCAGAAGCAAU
rnacentral:misc_RNA from 1 species